rnacentral:lncRNA from 10 species
CGGGGCGCGAGCCCAGCUGGGGUGGUAAAUAGAGUACAGUACAAAAGCGGAAGGGGCAGGCCUAGAAGCUGAAAGAAAAGCUCGAUAAUGGGGAAACAGUGUUUUUUCCUUCAAUUAAUGAUUAAUUUCUCAGCUGGUGGGGCCAGCAGUCUCUGACCGUCACGUGACAGCUAUGCGCCCCAUGACGCCUCUCCAGGGAGGCAGAGUGGGUGGCACUGAGGUGGAGCUCACCUUCCUGAAAUUCAGCCCCCUCAGUUUGGAGGAAGGAGGUAAACUGUUUCCUGUCCAGCCAGAAGUUUGCGGAGGGCCUUCCCCAGGCCAGGCAAUGCUGCCUGCGACUCUGUCCCUGACAGCGUUGGAUGCACCGUAUCUCUUCUGAUAUUAAGUCUGGAAGUGAUUUACUAUCCGAGUCCUCCCACAGUUCGAGCCUUUUGAUGUACUUUGUGUGCAUGUGUUUCUGUCACAUACGUGCCACAGUGGAACAGAUUUUGUUUUGACACUAUUUUGGUUCAUGAUGUUAUACUUUGACUAUUUUACAAUAAUAGCCAAUGUAAACAAACAUCUUUGGGAUUCUCAAAUUAUUACUUAUGAUUCUUGGACAUUGCAGCUCUUCGAUACUGACGCAUUCCUAGCUUUUUCCAAGGACACCGUAUGUUAACAUCCGUGCCAGCCUCAUUAUCCCCACAGCCAGGCUCUGGGUUGGGCGGUAAUGAGCAUUGUGCGGUUUCACUUUACACUUUGCAAAGUUGAUUAAGGCAGUGCCUUCUCCCAUGAUCAUUUUUGUACCCUGAUGUAGUAAAAUGGCUAAAUAUGGUGAAAGUUUUCUGGUGUUUCUUUCUUUAGCUGCCAUGUCAGAGUCCAGUCUGCCUGGCUGUGUUGAAUUCGAUUCUAUUGGCACGCUACCCAGUUUUACAUUCAUUUAAAGAUCAUUUAAAGGGGAUUACGAAGCUGUAUAAGUUAAUGAUUUAAACGAGGCCUAAGUUACUAGUGUGUCUGUUUCAGCACGCCCAAUAUGAAAUCACCUUAAAAAUUGCUUUCGUGGGGGAAAAUCGUGUCGGAGCAUUUUCCAAGUGGGUUUAAAGUCACCAUGUAACAAAUGCAGACAUCUCUGAGAUCACCAUGCAGUGAGGAAGUCUAAGCUGGUGGCAUGAAGAGGCCACAUGGAAAGGGCUAAAAAAGGGGCCAGCCUCAGUCAUCCCAGCUGAGCACCUGGCUGGGAAUAAAAGAGGACUCCGUGGAUGUCCAGCCCAGUAAGAUGACCUCAGCCCCAGCCACCAACUGACCAAGCACACAAGACAUCGUGAGGCUGCCUGCUGGAGCCUGGCCAGUGGGACUGUAGAGUAACUCAUUGUCGUGCAGGAACUCCUGGGAUGGUGUUGCCCAGUGACACAAUCCCAGUGUGGCCAUUUCUGAUCCCGAGAAAGCAGUCAGGAGUGGGUGGAUGCAGUUACAGUUCAUCAAGUCCUGCUAGUUCAAGUCAUGAGUCCUGAAUUCUCCAGGAGGAGCCACUAAAGAAAUGCAGAAGCAGGCAAUCCUUGCAAUAAGGCCAGCAAACUGCCAGUGUGAAGGAUGCCCAGGUAACCUGCCCAUGCCAGAACGGCCAGGAGAUGGUGGAACCAGAAUCUAAGCCCACGCCCAUCUGACCUCAAAGUCUGUGCUCCUGAGGUUCGCACCGAGUUGCCUCCUAAGACUUGCUGAAACUGGAUCACGUCCAUUUACCCAUCUCUGAGAGAAAUGCAAGCUUUAAAAAAGGAAAUAUUUACUAUGGAUAUUUUACAAUAGUUCCAAAACAUGAAAGUUUUAAAUAAGAUAUUCUUAACCAUCCUCACCACAUCUUCAGGUUCCCUUACAGCCACUGUGUUUUGACGAUUGCCCAUUAGAAAAAAAGACUAUGCUUUCUGUAGGUUUUAAAGGAAUGGUGGUGAAAUAAGGAGCAUUCCCUGAGCAGAUCUUGCCUGCGGGCACACCUCUGAGCAUUGGACCAGGCGAGAAGAGCCCAUGUGUUGGCUGCUUUGGGAUCCCAGCACUGCCAAUGGCAGGUGGGCUGUGGCCCAGGGAGAGAACCUAGCCUUUUGCAUUCUCUUGCCCCAUUUGAAAAUGGAGACGAUAGUGGCGCCCCGCUCAGUGUUAUUUUGAGGAUUUGAAUGUAUCUCAGAUGUAGUACCUGGAAAAAUAUAAGUGCUCAGUAAAUACGGUUGCCAGAUAAAAUGCAGGAAACCUAUUUAAAUUUAAGUUUUGGCUGGACAAUGAAUAGAAUAAUUUUUCUUAGUAUGAGUAUGUCCUUAUAUUUCAUCUGCUAAAUUUAGCAACCUCCUCAGUAAACGAUCACUACAAUUGCAGAAACGCCUUAUGACAGAUAUAGUAAAUCUGUAAAGAAAUAGGAACUUGCAUUUAUUUUUACUAAGCUCUGACUGGUUAAGAUAACUGGGCAAGAGAAGAUAUCUUCGACUAAACUUGCAGCACAUAGAGUAUAGAGAUUCAAAUUUGAAGUCCUAUAGGACUAGAAUGGCCAGAGGUGAACUGUAGCGAGCUUAUCUAAAGAGGACCAAUUUCAAAAGUUCCUCAGAGACUUAAAUGGGCCCACAGACCCCUCCUGUGUCUUUGCAUAAGCCAGCUCGUUAUAUCAGUUAUAAGUUGAUUUCCAGAGAAAUGUACCCUGGAGAUCCCUCUCCCACUUGAAAUAGGACUGGCCAAUCCAGAUGUCCCCCAGGUGAUGUUGGCUCAAAUGGAGCUCCAUAUAUUGGAGAAUCUAUUCAAGAAAACAAGCAAAAGUAUUUGUGACUGAGUUAGCUAAUGCCAGCUGGUAUCUUGAACAAACCCAGAUCUCUAACAUGCUAGUUUAUUUCGUAGUGUAAAAUGUGUGUUACUGAUGGGCAGACAGCUCUCAUUCAAGCAGUGACAGAUGUAAGCUCUUCCCAUUUUUGUGGCCCCAUUGUAUUCGGCGUGUGGCUUCCAAGUUGCCUGGGAUCAUCUCCACCCAGACUAAGGAAGAGGAAAGAGCUUGGACAACUGCACUUGGCUGGUUUUUAUGGAUCAGGCAAGGAAUUGGCUCCAACACAUUAGCUCACAUUCCAUUGGUUAGAACUGGGUUUCUCAACUAUUAGUACAGGGUGAGUGUAGGGUUUUGGCACCAUGGGCAUUUGAGCUGGCCAAAGGCUAAUCAGAGUUAGAACAAAGCCACAAAGCCUGUGAAUGGUGUUUAUUGUUGUGAGGAGCUGUCUUGUGCAUUGUGGAAUGUUCAGCAGGAUGCUCUCUGGCCUCAGAGACUCACUAGAUUCCCAUAGAACUCUCCUCUCUCCUCUAGUUGUGACAACCACAGUUGCCUCCUCUCCAGACAUUGCUAGAUGUCCCCGGGAGGCAAAAUUGUCCUGGUUGAGAACCACUGUGUUAGAACUCGGUCACAUGGCCAUACCUAACUGCAAGGGAGGGGGCUGGAAGAUCUAGACGAGUAGUAUGCCAGGAAGAAAAUAGAACUGAUUUAGAGGCUGCUGGCCAGUCACUUUCAGUGACCUUCAGCAUACUUAUUCCUCUGCAGCUGUCAGGACACUCAUGCCUGUUUCUGAGAUGUUUCCUGUGUGAGGGGACAUAGUGACUAUUGGAGGGGUGACAUGUUGGACUUGGGUAGGGUGAAGAGGAUUGGAAACCACCAUCAUGUUUGGCAGCAUUGAAUGUUUAUGACUAUUUGAAUAGUUGUGACAAGGGUACAGUGAAGGAGGAAGUAACCAUUUUUGAAUACCCUUUUACAAUUUGCAAAGCACUUUUAAAGGUAAGAGUGAGUUCCUAGACCAUAUUAGGGUGAGAAUGGACAUUGUUGGCUGCCAUAUCAUUGGGCAGGGGCUUUGAGAUUUUUGUCUUCAGAAGGCAGAUUAGAUUUGGAGUAGAAGGAGAAAUGUAAAGACCUGGUAUCUGAGUGUGUUUGCAGAGGGGAAUUGUCGUUUGGAAGCACAAGAAAGGGAAUGGCCCGUUGGCACAUAUGGUACAUUGUGUUUUCAUAUAAUUAUACCUGAAUGAAAGCAAGAGGAAACGUGUAGGAAGCUGUUUACAUAGUCCUUUUAAUAAUGUUUACAUGAGUUAAUGAACAUGCAAACGUAUCUGAUGAAAACAUGUCAGUAGUGAAACAGCCUUGUGAAGAAUCAGAUCUUACCUCAGGCUGGAAAAAAGGACUGGUUUUCCAAGCUCACAAAUUGCAGCCAGUGUGAAUAGUAGCACAAAUGACUGAGCUUUAAGACAUCCAUCCAUCCAUCUAUCCAUCCCCUCAUCCAUCCAUCCCCUCAUCCAUCCACCCAUCCAUCCAUCCCUUCAUCCAUCACUCCAUCCAGCCAUCCGUCCCUUCAUCAAUCCAUCCAUCCCUUCAUCCAUCCAUCCAUCCUUCCUUCCAUUCAUCCCUUCAUCCAUCCGUCCAUCCAUCCAUCCAUCCACUCAUUCAUCCCUUCAUCCAUCCAUCCAUCCAUCCUUCCUUCCUUCCAUUCAUCCCUUCAUCCAUCCGUCCAUCCAUCCAUCCACCCAUUCAUCCAUCCAUUCCUUCAUCAACUCAUCCCUUCAUCCAUCGUCUACCAUUCAUUCACCCCUUCAUCCAUCCAUUCAUUUAUCCAUCCGUCCAUUUACUUCCAUCCAUCCCUUUAUCCAUCCAUUCACCCAUUCAUCCCUUUAUCCAUAUGUCCAUUCCUCCAUCCAUCCAUCCAUCCAUUUACUCUUCAUCCCUUCAUCCAUUUUUCCAUCCAUUCAUCCAUUCAUCUUUUCAUCCAUCCAUCCAUUGAUCUAUCCAUCCAUCCAUUGCUCCAUCCAACCAUCCAUCCAUCCCUUCGUCCCUUCAUCCAUCCAUCCAUUCAUCCCAUCAUCCAUUGAUCACUUCAUCCAUCCAUCCUUCCAUCCUUCCAUCCAUUCUUCCAUUCAUCCAUCCAUGUGUUCAGCAAGUAUUUACUGAAUGCCUAUUAUGUGCCAAGCACUCUCCUCAGAACUUAGGAAAUACCAGGAAACAAAAUCAACAACAAUCCCUCACCACCUGGAUAUUACAUUUUGGUGGGAAGAGACAAAGAAAUAAAAUUGGUGAGUGAAUCACAUAGGUUAUUAGAAGGUGAUAAAGGUGUAGGUGAUAAAGGAGAAGUGCCAGGAGCAAGGAUUGGGUACAGUUGUGAAUAAGGUGGCCCCAAUAGGUUGCACUGAGAAGGUGACAUUUGCACAGAGACUUGAAGAAAGGAAGGAGAGAACAUGACUGUACCUGGGUAACAGCAUUUGUGGAAGAGGGAACAGCCAGUGUAAAAGUUCCAAGGCAUGAGUGCCUGGUACAUACAUGGAACAUCGAGGCCAGGGUGGCAGAAACGCGGUGAGUCCAGGAAGGGAAUAGGAACUAAGUGUAGGAAGGUGUACAGUGGGGUGGUGUGGGGGUGGAAUUGUGGCAGCCAGAUGGUGUUGGCCUAAGGCCUCUUGGCCCUUGUUAGGACUUGGUUUACCAUGGCGCAACACAUCCAUGAGAUUGGCAAAAAUUAAAAAGUCUGACAACAGAAAAUCUGGUAAUCUGGUGAGGAUGUGGAGCAGUGGGAAUUCUCCAAUACUGCCAGGGAGCAUGGGCAUCAAUCCCACCACACUGGAAUGCAAAGGGGCAUUCUGAGUAGAACUGAAGAUGUGCCCAUCCUUGACCCCACAGUUCCAGCCAUGGGCAUGCGCAUGAAUGUGCACACGUGUUGACUGCGGCAUUUGUUUGUCAUUAUGAAAACAUCUAAGUUUCCAUCUAUGGGAGAGGGGAUAAUGUGGGAGUGCCCAACAGUGGAGUUCUAGAGAGCAGUAAAAAUAAAUGGACUAGAGCUGCACACGUCAAAAUGGAUGAAGAUAAAAGACAUAAGGAUGGAAGAAGACCACCUGGCCACAGAAGUAUAUGUCCAAUAUGAUGCUGGUGUAUCCAGAGUGUUCAAACAAACAACACAACACUACUCAUUGUUUCCAACGUGAGUAUGAAAGUAUGGAGCAGUGCGGAGGGCCAGGAGUGCUGAAUCCACAUGGUUACUUCUCCAGGCGGGGGCCGAGGACCAGGGCUGGAGGUUUACUCCAGGAGCUUCAGUGGUGCAUGCUGAAUGUGCUGUUUCUUGGGCUGGGGGACAGAGAUGUGCAUGCUGUUAUACACUCUAUAUUGAAAUGAUUGUAUAACAAUAUACUAAUUUAUCAUGUAAUAAAUUUGACCAGAAAGAAACAACUGUUCUGUGGCUGCUUCCAUGACUGGAUUUCACGUUGUAGGUUUCUAAGCAGAGAGUCCAAGGAAAACCAAAGGAGCGGCGGAAGGAUAAGCCUCCCGGGUGUUCUGGGAGUGUCCCUUUGCUUGGG